rnacentral:rRNA from 1 species
CAGCCGCCGCGGUAAUACAGAGGGUGCGAGCGUUAAUCGGAAUUACUGGGCGUAAAGGGCGCGUAGGCGGUUAGGAAGGUGUGAUGUGAAAUCCCCGGGCUUAACCUGGGAACUGCAUUUGUGACUGGCGAGCUAGAGUAUGGCAGAGGGGGGUAGAAUUCCACGUGUAGCAGUGAAAUGCGUAGAGAUGUGGAGGAAUACCGAUGGCGAAGGCAGCCCCCUGGGCCAAUACUGACGCUCAUGCACGAAAGCGUGGGGAGCAAACAGGAUUAGAGACCCGUGUAGUCCCUGUCUCUUAUAC